rnacentral:rRNA from 1 species
AUGAACGCUGGCGGCGUGCCCAAUACAUGCAAGUCGAGCGAACAGACGAGGAGCUUGCUCCUCUGACGUUAGCGGCGGACGGGUGAGUAACACGUGGAUAACCUACCUAUAAGACUGGGAUAACUUCGGGAAACCGGAGCUAAUACCGGAUAAUAUAUUGAACCGCAUGGUUCAAUAGUGAAAGACGGUUUUGCUGUCACUUAUAGAUGGAUCCGCGCCGCAUUAGCUAGUUGGUAAGGUAACGGCUUACCAAGGCAACGAUGCGUAGCCGACCUGAGAGGGUGAUCGACCACACUGGAACUGAGACACGGUCCAGACUCCUACGGGAGGCAGCAGUAGGGAAUCUUCCGCAAUGGGCGAAAGCCUGACGGAGCAACGCCGCGUGAGUGAUGAAGGUCUUCGGAUCGUAAAACUCUGUUAUUAGGGAAGAACAAAUGUGUAAGUAACUAUGCACGUCUUGACGGUACCUAAUCAGAAAGCCACGGCUAACUACGUG